UCCCUCUCAGGGUCACACCUGGAGAGUUUCCAGUCCUCUACCAGUCAUGAGCACAGGAGGGAGAGUCAAGCAGAGGUCUACCCAUUCCAUUCCUAGCUUGGGCAGCGGCUAGUGAGUGGAAGGCAAUCUGUUACAAGU
rnacentral:snoRNA from 1 species